rnacentral:lncRNA from 1 species
GCGACAGAGCGAGACUCUGUCUCAAACAAACAAACAAAAAAAGCGGGGGGGGGGGGGGGGGGGCGGGGGCGGGAAGAAAAGUCUUCCUGGUUUCAAGAAGAGGAUUUAAAUGUAGGCUUAAAGCAGGGGUUGCCCUGAGGCCCAGGAGGAGAGAGAGCUACAGGGUUCACAAACCCUGACAGACCCAGUUUCUUCCUACACUGAAAGGAAAGGGGGUUCCAGGUCUCCAGGCCUGGCCUGAGGAGGGGUCAGGUGGUAUGGAUGGAGAGGUCUGGCCAGGCAUGGUGAUGUUCAUGCCUUUAAUCCCAGCACUUAGGGAGGCAGAGGCAGGAGAAUAGCUCCAGCCCAGGAGUUUGAGACCAGCCUGAGCAACAUAGCCAGACCCCAUUCACCACAAAAAGGAAAAAAAGUUUGGACAGGGAGGUCAUAUGCACACCAGCCUUCAGCCCACGAGCCAUCCCGCGUGCAGGCAUACACAGGCACCACCAGCCACAGAAGCAUGUGCACACAGGCACCUGCUAGAUCAGAAACCAGCCUGAAGGGCCCCCAGCAACUUCCCCAAACUGGCUGCCACGCCUGCCCAGGAAGUUGCUCAGUUCCUACAUGCCACAGGGAAGGCCUGCCCACCUCCACCUCUCUUGACUCUGUCUCCUCAGGGAACAAGAGCUCCUCAUCAGCCUUUGUCAAACACUCCAUCCUCUGCUCAUAAGCAGCUGAGCAGCUGCUGCUGAGGAACCCAGUGUAACUGGGAGUAACCCGGCCUGCAGCCACCAUCCCUGGGAGCGGCUGCCUCCCAUUGGCUGGGCCUCAUGAGGCGACGUGGCAGCAGAGCCUCCCCUUCUACUGGCUGCCAGGGAGGCGGGCACAGGGCCAAGUCUCACGGGCUGGCGCCGGGGGAGCCCUGAGCAGCCUGCACAGGAUGUCCUGGAGGGAACCAGAGCCCCCGCCUGACAGCCUAUCCUGUGCGUCUCCCCUGCCGUCUGAUCCGAUCCGUGGCACCACCUCCGCCUACUUUGCCCCUGAAGCUGAGUAGCACAGGCUUUGUACCAAGGGAGAAGGUAAUUUACGUCAUCCAAGGUGCCAAAGGUUAUGGGUUUGCUACCCCAUUCCGGGUAUUACCCCAUCCCCUGCUCUGCCAGGAGCCACCCUGAAGGGGUGCCAAAUUAUUUAUCACUGUGCUGUUGGAGGGUCCCACAUGGAGGUAGAGAUGCAGCAGGCUGGGCCUGAAGUCUAAUUCCCAGCCCAGGAUUCUGCAGUUCCCCUGGUGUGGCCUGUACUAGGGACCACAUGCCAGCUCUCCUGCUGAGCUUCCCUGAAGUGGUCAUCAUAGCACUUAGUGUCCCAGACACUGCUUGGUAUUUUAGUAUCAACUUAUUUAAGUCUCAAAAUUACAUCAACCUUAUGAAGUAGAAUUAAGUCAGGCACUGUUCUAAGAACGUCAAAAAAAAAAAUUAAUCCACCACAACUCUGUGAGUGUGAGAUAGGUAUAACUAUUAUCCCCAUUUUAGAUGAAGAAACUUGAGACUCAGAGAUGUGAAGUGACUCAGCUCUAAGUAGGGAAAUUGGGAUUUCAACCCAGACAGGGGCCGGGCAUGGUGGCUCACACCUGUAAUCCUAACACUUUGGGAGGCUGAGGCGGGAGGACACCUUGAGCCCAGGAGUUCAAGGCCAGCCUAGGCAAUAUAGUGAGACGCUGUCUCUACAAAUAAUAAUUUUAAAAGAUUAGCCAGGUGUGGUGGCACGUGCCUGUAGUCGCAGCUACUCGAGAGGCUGAGGUGGGAAGAUCACUUGAGCCCAGGAGUUCUAGGCUGCAGUGAGUUAUGAUCACACCACUGCACUCCAGCCUGGGUGACAGAGCGAGACCCUGUCUCUAAAAAAAAAAAAAAGAAAGAAAGAUAGAAAGAAAGAAAGAGAAAGAAAGAUAAAAAUAAUAAAAUAAGCCCAGGCAGGCUGGCUCCAGAGUACAACUGCUUAACCACUCUUAAGUACUACCUCGGCCACUGCAGGAAGUGAUAGAGUGGGAGAAUUCAGAAUUCCAGCUUCACCAAGGGGAAUGAGUGGACCCUGGGGAGGAAUGAGGCCUGAGCUGCCCAGCCUAGCACUUUGGCUGUCCUGGAAAUGAACUGGCUGAGCAUGCCAGUGCCCGUGCUCAGGGUAGCUGAUGCCUCGGAUGGGGUUUCAACACCCUUGGGCUUUUAACUCCUUCCUUCUCCUCACCCUUCUGCCUGUGACAAGACAGAGAGAAGGACCAAGGAGCAGAUAUGCUGGAAGUCCUGCCUUGUGCCACCUCGAAGGGGCAUAUUCUACUCACCAGGGCAUAAGGCGACCCAGGCAGGUCCAGGGGGAUUUGCUGAUGCAGAGGCCCACCAGGGGGUCUGUGAUGGCAUCCCAGGCUCGGCCCACAAACAGGAUGAUGGAGGCAGAGAAAGGGCCCACCUGGAAUGAGGAGAAGCAAAAGACAACUUCCUCAUCCUUCUACUCGCCUCAACUCUCACUGAGGAGGAAAAGAUGAAAGGCCCAAGGUUCUGGCCUCCAUCCAAGAAGGUUCCACAGGAAGGACCAUCCCUCUGGCCAGCUCUACCAGAACAAACAACUCUGCUUUGACCUGUUCCUAUCCAGGAGAUCCCACCUUUUUUUUUUUUUUUUUUUUUUUUUUUUUUGAGACAGAGUCUUGCUCUGUUGCCCAGGCUGGAGUGCAGUGGUGCCAUCUCGGCUCACUGCAAGCUCCGCCUCCUGGGUUCACGCCAUUCUCCUGCCUCAGCCUCCCAAGUAGCUGGGACUACAGGCACCCACUACCACACCCAGCUAAUUUUUUGUAUUUUAAGUAGAGACGGGGUUUCACCAUGUUAGCCAGCAUGGUCUCGAUCUCCGAGAUCCCACUUUAUACAAAAGAAAGGUGUUCUCCAUUCUUAGGAACAUGGAAAAGGGGAAUCCAUACUUGUGUGAAAGUAGCCCCUAAGCCACCUCCCUCCUGGAGAUUCUAAGGAAACUUAUCAGCCCACCAUCCCUAAAGAACUCCUCCCAAGGCCUCAGGCACUGCUCCUUUCCAGGUUUCAGGGGGAGCAUGCUCCAGCAGCCGACCUGUCCCCACCCGGCACCAGCUGCCACAACCUGAAAAUCCGCUUGCUGCCAAGAGCUGCCUGAGCCCAGCCCAGGCUCCCACCCUGCCUCAGAGACAGGAUCCACCUGCCUACUCCUGGUGAGAGCUCUAGAGAGCUACGGGGGCCCGGCCCAGCUGGCUGCAGGCGCAGCUGUUCCACCUAUCCCAGAGCAUCCCUGACCACUAUAGGCAGCCAGAGCUUCAGGCGGACCCAGGAACUGUCCUACUCUCCAGCUUCCCGACCCAUCGCCCUCCACCCCUGAGCUCCUAGAGGACCUUGGAGACGGGAGGAAAGGCCUCCAGGUUCAGGCCUGAUCCCUCUCCGGGUGGGGCACUAGGGAGGUUGGGUUGCCCAGGGAAAGUAGAUAUUACUCAUACAUAGUAACAGCAUAAUUGCUCACCCAGCUCCUUCCAAAGAUCAGUUAAUAAAAUUAAAAGGAAAAGGCAGUCACCUCCCACGAAGGUAUCUAUUGCCUGAGAUCCUUUCCUAGGGGGCCGCCUCAUUUUAUUUGGUCCUUCAAUAAGUCCCCAGGGCUGGGGAUGUGGUCGAUGGUCUCGAUGCGCAAAGCACCGUUCCCGCGCGAACAUCCACAUUCAGACAAAUGCCUGAGGGACGC